rnacentral:rRNA from 1 species
UACGUAGGUGGCAGUAGCGUUGUCCGGAUUUAUUGGGCGUAAAGCGAACGCAGGCGGGAAGAUAAGUCAGCUGUGAAAGCCCUCGGCUCAACCGGGGAACGGCAACUGAAACUAUUUUUCUUGAGUGCAGAAGAGGAGAGUGGAACUCCAUGUGUAGCGGUGGAAUGCGUAGAUAUAUGGAAGAACACCAGUGGCGAAGGCGGCUCUCUGGUCUGUAACUGACGCUGAGGUUCGAAAGCAUGGGUAGCGAACAGG